CCGGGGCAACAGCAACCUCCCGGUCAGGCCUUACCGCCCAAGCGUUGC
rnacentral:ncRNA from 1 species